rnacentral:rRNA from 1 species
GUUGAACGCUGGCGGCAGGCUUAACACCUGCAAGUCGAGCGAGCGGCAGACGGGUGAGUAAUGUCUGGGAAACUACCUGAUGGAGGGGGAUAACUACUGGAAACGGUAGCUAAUACCGCAUACCAUGAGAUGUGCCCAAAUGGGAUUAGCUAGUAGGUGGGGUAAUGGCUCACCUAGGCGACGAUCCCUAGCUGGUCUGAGAGGAUGACCAGCCACACUGGACCGGAGACACGGUCCAGACUCCUACGGGAGGCAUCAGUGGGGAAUAUUGCACAAUGGUCGCAAGCCUGAUACAGCCAUGCCGCGUGUGUGAAGAAGGCCGUCGGGUUGUAAAGCACUUUCAGCGAGGAGGCGUUACUCGCAGAAGAAGCACCGGCUAACUCCGUGCCAGCAGCCGCGGUAAUUC